AAUCUCGAUUUGAAUCAAUUCCCUUUUUACGAUCUAUUCUUUAAUUCAAAUUUUUAAUCGUUAGAAUCACUUUUUAUUAAAUGUUAAAUAAA